UACAGAGGUCCCAAGCGUUGUUCGGAUUCACUGGGCGUAAAGCGUGCGCAGGCGGUUCUCCAAGUCCGUUGUGAAAGCCCCGGGCUCAACCUGGGAAUGGCAGUGGAAACUAGGGGACUGGAAUCUGGCAGAGGGGGGUGGAAUGCCGCGUGUAGCAGUGAAAUGCGUAGAGAUGCGGCGGAACACCGAUGGCGAAGGCAGCCCCCUGGGCAGAGAUUGACGCUCAGGCACGAAAGCGUGGGGAGCAAACAGG
rnacentral:rRNA from 1 species